GAUUCGUCACACUAUCAUUAACUGAAUCCAUAGGUUAAUGAGGCGAACCGGGGGAACUGAAACAUCUAAGUACCCCGAGGAAAAGAAAUCAACCGAGAUUCCCCCAGUAGCGGCGAGCGAACGGGGAGGAGCCCAGAGCCUGAAUCAGCAUGUGUGUUAGUGGAAGCGUCUGGAAAGGCGCGCGAUACAGGGUGACAGCCCCGUACACAAAAGCGCAUGUGCUGUGAGCUCGAUGAGUAGGGCGGGACACGUGGUAUCCUGUCUGAAUAUGGGGGGACCAUCCUCCAAGGCUAAAUACUCCUGACUGACCGAUAGUGAACCAGUACCGUGAGGGAAAGGCGAAAAGAACCCCGGCGAGGGGAGUGAAAAAGAACCUGAAACCGUGUACGUACAAGCAGUGGGAGCACCCUUCGGGGUGUGACUGCGUACCUUUUGUAUAAUGGGUCAGCGACUUAUAUUCUGUAGCAAGGUUAACCGUAUAGGGGAGCCGGAGGGAAACCGAGUCUUAAUUGGGCGUUAAGUUGCAGGGUAUAGACCCGAAACCCGGUGAUCUAGCCAUGGGCAGGUUGAAGGUUGGGUAACACUAACUGGAGGACCGAACCGACUAAUGUUGAAAAAUUAGCGGAUGACCUGUGGCUGGGGGUGAAAGGCCAAUCAAACCGGGAGAUAGCUGGUUCUCCCCGAAAGCUAUUUAGGUAGCGCCUCGUGAAUUCAUCUCCGGGGGUAGAGCACUGUUUCGGCUAGGGGGCCAUCCCGGCUUACCAACCCGAUGCAAACUGCGAAUACCGGAGAAUGUUAUCACGGGAGACACACGGCGGGUGCUAACGUCCGUCGUGAAGAGGGAAACAACCCAGACCGCCAGCUAAGGUCCCAAAGUCAUGGUUAAGUGGGAAACGAUGUGGGAAGGCCCAGACAGCCAGGAUGUUGGCUUAGAAGCAGCCAUCAUUUAAAGAAAGCGUAAUAGCUCACUGGUCGAGUCGGCCUGCGCGGAAGAUGUAACGGGGCUAAACCAUGCACCGAAGCUGCGGCAGCGAACGUAUCACCCAAGACAACUUUACGGAGUUGACGAUUGACGGAGCGAAGCGACGUCAAAGCGUUCAUUAAAGUCGAGUUGGCUUAGGGAUACGUUCGUUGGGUAGGGGAGCGUUCUGUAAGCCUGUGAAGGUGUGUCGUGAGGCAUGCUGGAGGUAUCAGAAGUGCGAAUGCUGACAUAAGUAACGAUAAAGCGGGUGAAAAGCCCGCUCGCCGGAAGACCAAGGGUUCCUGUCCAACGUUAAUCGGGGCAGGGUGAGUCGACCCCUAAGGCGAGGCCGAAAGGCGUAGUCGAUGGGAAACGGGUUAAUAUUCCCGUACUUGGUGUUACUGCGAAGGGGGGACGGAGAAGGCUAUGUUGGCCGGGCGACGGUUGUCCCGGUUUAAGCGUGUAGGUGUGUGUUCCAGGUAAAUCCGGUUCACUUUAACACUGAGGCGUGACGACGAGGCACUACGGUGCUGAAGCAACAAAUGCCCUGCUUCCAGG
rnacentral:rRNA from 1 species